rnacentral:rRNA from 1 species
UAGGGAAUAUUAGAAAUGGACGAAAGUCUGAUCCAGCAACACCGCGUGUGCGAAGAAGGCCUUCGGGUUGUAAAGCACUUUUUGGAAGGAUUAGGAAGGAAUGUACUUCCAGAAUAAGUCUCGGCUAACUACGUGCCAGCAGCCGCGGUAACACGUAGGAGGCAAACGUUAUCCGGAUUUACUGGGCGUAAAGCGCGUGUAGGUGGUUCUGUAAGUAGGGCGUGAAAGCUCCUGGCUCAACUGGGAGAGGCCGUUCUAAACUGCAGAGCUAGAGGAUGGUAGAGGGAGGUGGAAUUCCGGGUGUAGCGGUGGAAUGCGCAGAUAUCCGGAGGAACACCAGUGGCGAAAGCAGUCACUUGGUCCAUUACUGACGCUAAAGCACGAAAGCGUGGGUAGCAAACA